rnacentral:rRNA from 1 species
GACGACGACUCCUACGGGAGGCAGCAGUGGGGAAUAUUGCACAAUGGGGGGAAAACCCUGAUGCAGCCAUGCCGCGUGUGUGAAGAAGGCCUUCGGGUUGUAAAGCACUUUCAGUAGGGAGGAAGGUAGUGUAGUUAACACCUGCAUUAUUUGACGUUACCUACAGAAGAAGCACCGGCUAACUCCGUGCCAGCAGCCGCGGUAAUACGGAGGGUGCGAGCGUUAAUCGGAAUUACUGGGCGUAAAGCGCAUGCAGGCGGCCUGUUAAGUCAGAUGUGAAAGCCCCGGGGCUUAACCUCGGAAUUGCAUUUGAAACUGGCAGGCUAGAGUCUUGUAGAGGGGGUAGAAUUUCAGGUGUAGCGGUGAAAUGCGUAGAGAUCUGAAGGAAUACCAGUGGCGAAGGCCGGCCCCCUGGACAAAGACUGACGCUCAGAUGCGAAAGCGUGGGGAGCAAACAGGAUUAGAUACCCUGGUAG